rnacentral:lncRNA from 1 species
GUUAUAUAGUUAAUGAUGAUAUGCUAGAAACUUAUAACUUGAAUGAUGAUAUGCUAGAAAUUUAUAACUUUGCAAAUGAAGAUAGCAACAAUAUAUUCAAGUACGCAGUUUAUCUUGUAAGGAACUAUUUGUUCUGUAUAAUCUGUCCUAGCUUAUUAUACUAUUUUUGUAAUCUCAAAAAUGUCUAAUUAAAUUGUGUAAAUAAAUAAAUAAACAAGGAUUCAAUAAAGACCACUAAUUAGUGACUAUAGGCAUCUUUAUAAAGAUCUUUAGGGACGGACUAUUAGAAAAGUGAUGGGGGGGCAAAACCAAAAAAAAAUGUAUUCCCAGAAAAAAUUAAGAAAAAAAAUCUUUCCAGGCAUAGUGCAAAAAAAAAAUUCCUUGCUUAGAAGAUAGGCCAAGUGGUGUACUGGAGGGAGGGCUCAGGGGGGCUGAGCCCCCUUGUUGAAAUUUCAUGUUGACUUGGGGGACUGCACGUUGGUCAAAUUUAGCAAAAUUUCUCCCACUCGUGCGGAUGGGCAGAAAGUGGCCAGUUCUUUGAAAAAUGCAAAAGUUUCAAUUUUACACUGCAAGUCCACUUACAAUAUGAGCCUGCGGUCCUGGGAGAAAAUUUCCUGAAUAUGACCAGCGUGCUGAGCCCCCACGUUGCAUAAUCUUAACAACGUCAAAAACACACACAAAAAAUAUCAGUAAACGAGAAUGUUCUUUAG